GCGUGAUGACGAGGCACUACGGUGCUGAAGCAACAAAUGCCCUGCUUCCAGGAAAAGCCUCUAAGCAUCAGGUAACAUCAAAUCGUACCCCAAACCGACACAGGUGGUCAGGUAGAGAAUACCAAGGCGCUUGAGAGAACUCGGGUGAAGGAACUAGGCAAAAUGGUGCCGUAACUUCGGGAGAAGGCACGCUGAUAUGUAGGUGAAGUCCCUCGCGGAUGGAGCUGAAAUCAGUCGAAGAUACCAGCUGGCUGCAACUGUUUAUUAAAAACACAGCACUGUGCAAACACGAAAGUGGACGUAUACGGUGUGACGCCUGCCCGGUGCCGGAAGGUUAAUUGAUGGGGUUAGCGCAAGCGAAGCUCUUGAUCGAAGCCCCGGUAAACGGCGGCCGUAACUAUAACGGUCCUAAGGUAGCGAAAUUCCUUGUCGGGUAAGUUCCGACCUGCACGAAUGGCGUAAUGAUGGCCAGGCUGUCUCCACCCGAGACUCAGUGAAAUUGAACUCGCUGUGAAGAUGCAGUGUACCCGCGGCAAGACGGAAAGACCCCGUGAACCUUUACUAUAGCUUGACACUGAACAUUGAGCCUUGAUGUGUAGGAUAGGUGGGAGGCUUUGAAGUGUGGACGCCAGUCUGCAUGGAGCCGGCCUUGAAAUACCACCCUUUAAUGUUUGAUGUUCUAACGUGGACCCGUAAUCCGGGUUGCGGACAGUGUCUGGUGGGUAGUUUGACUGGGGCGGUCUCCUCCUAAAGAGUAACGGAGGAGCACGAAGGUUGGCUAAUCCUGGUCGGACAUCAGGAGGUUAGUGCAAUGGCAUAAGCCAGCUUGACUGCGAGCGUGACGGCGCGAGCAGGUGCGAAAGCAGGUCAUAGUGAUCCGGUGGUUCUGAAUGGAAGGGCCAUCGCUCAACGGAUAAAAGGUACUCCGGGGAUAACAGGCUGAUACCGCCCAAGAGUUCAUAUCGACGGCGGUGUUUGGCACCUCGAUGUCGGCUCAUCACAUCCUGGGGCUGAAGUAGGUCCCAAGGGUAUGGCUGUUCGCCAUUUAAAGUGGUACGCGAGCUGGGUUUAGAACGUCGUGAGACAGUUCGGUCCCUAUCUGCCGUGGGCGCUGGAGAACUGAGGGGGGCUGCUCCUAGUACGAGAGGACCGGAGUGGACGCAUCACUGGUGUUCGGGUUGUCAUGCCAAUGGCACUGCCCGGUAGCUAAAUGCGGAAGAGAUAAGUGCUGAAAGCAUCUAAGCACGAAACUUGCCCCGAGAUGAGUUCUCCCUGACUCCUUGAGAGUCCUGAAGGAACGUUGAAGACGACGACGUUGAUAGGCCGGGUGUGUAAGCGCAGCGAUGCGUUGAGCUAACCGGUACUAAUGAACCGUGAGGCUUAACCUUACAAC
rnacentral:rRNA from 1 species